UACGGGGGAGCAAGCGUUGUUCGGAUUUACUGGGCGUAAAGGGCGCGUAGGCGGCCAGUGCAAGUCAGUUGUGAAAUCUCCGAGCUUAACUCGGAAAGGUCAACUGAUACUGCUCGGCUAGAGUGCGGAAGGGGCAACUGGAAUUCUUGGUGUAGCGGUGAAAUGCGCAGAUAUCAGGAGGAACACCGGUGGCGAAGGCGGGUCUCUGGGCCGAUACUGACGCUGAGGAGCGAAAGCGUGGGGAGCGAACAGG
rnacentral:rRNA from 1 species